rnacentral:rRNA from 1 species
UACGUAGGGGCUAGCGUUAUCCGGAAUUACUGGGCGUAAAGGGUGCGUAGGUGGUUUCUUAAGUCAGAGGUGAAAGGCUACGGCUCAACCGUAGUAAGCCUUUGAAACUGAGAAACUUGAGUGCAGGACAGGAGAGUAGAAUUCCUAGUGUAGCGGUGAAAUGCGUAGAUAUUAGGAGGAAUACCAGUUGCGAAGGCGGCUCUCUGGACUGUAACUGACACUGAGGCACGAAAGCGUAGGGAGCAAACAGGAUUAGAUACCCCUGUAGUCCCUGAG